rnacentral:lncRNA from 1 species
CGUAGCAUAGCGUAGCGAUUUACUGCUAUUUGGUUUGUUGCGGGCUGAGCUUGUACUUGACAGCGGGGUGCGGCUCGACACAUGGCGGGUGGUGCCUGUACGAACCGACCCCGGCUUUGUCCGGGGGAUGAGGUAGUUUCGAAACCUUCGGCCUCGGACAUUGCACCAACGUGGCGUGGCCGCACAGCUCAAUUUUCCCCUGGAGACUUGUUUUGUCCGCAGCCGUGGUUGUUGGCUUCCAGGAGUGGCAUGACUCCUUGACGGGUCUAAUAAGUGGAGUAGCUGCUAAGACAGCUUGUGACGGCGUUCUGCCUUUGAGAGAAGUCAGUGUUGUGCUCGAGGGGGAGAUCACUCGCAUUGCCUAGCUGAGCCGUGCUGGGCAGGCGGGCGAGGGGGAGGGGGAGGGGGAGGGGCGGUGGUGGACUGGAGGUAGGAUUGGAGGUACGCGAGGAGGUAGGGCAGGCGGUAGCGGCGGUAGGGGAGGCAGGAGCGCUGGGUGGUGGAGCGCUGGCACUGGCGCAGGCGGGGGCUGUUGAGGGUCAGACCCAGGGGUGCAGGCGGCGGCAUUUUGAUUUGCGUGUCGGCACGGCGUGUUCACUUAAAUGCAGUCAGGUGGAGGCAAGGCUUGACGUGGAUUGAGUGAUUCGGUUAUGCGGACAGUCACGCGGAAACGCGGGUGUAGUGCCAGCCGGGGGACACGAGGCGCCGAGCCGGGGGUGCGGGGCGCCAGUCCAGAGCGUGGGGGCCAUCGUUGAUCGCGGAUGAGACACCGGGUAUGCCCGCACGCCAAACAUUCCGGUGGAGCGCGGACAUGACAUUGCUUAAUUACCCGCAUUGCUGCGUCGCAAACGCUCUUUCAGUCAGUGCCAACGAUACUGCCCCGCGCGGUUGCGCGUUCUUACCUUCUUUCCUGCGCGAACGAAACGGCAGCCCUUAGGAUUCCUGUUAAAUGUGAUUCACAUCACCACUCUCACAUUUAACCAUAGGGACACCCUACAGCUCGUCGCUGGCUGGCCUAUGUUGCUGACGCGGCUGAGUGGACCCGCGGCAGCAGGUAUGCUUCUGCGUGGUUGCAUUAAUAUAGUAUGGGACUGCGCUAGAGUGCAAGCGCGGCGCUCACGAAGCUGACCAGCCGAGGCCCGUCGCAUGCAGGCACGCCGGGCAUGCGCCCAACUCCGCAUGGGCGGCAUGGCGCCUGCCUUGGUUCACACUGGCGUGGAUGUGGAACGGCGAGCCACGGGCGCGCCUGGCGCGUCGUGGCCGCGUGCCACCUGCCCGAGGGGAGCGCGGGAGCCACCCCGGGAGUCGGGUGAGUCGGCGCCUUUUGCAGCGCCCACUGCUGUGACAUACUUUGCGAAUGCACGCUCGCAGCUAACAGCACCGAAUGCACCCUGCACGCAGGUCGCCGCCUGCAGCUGCAGCAGGGCAGGUGGGAAGACCCAGGGGACAAACUUUGCAACGCUUCUCAAGAAGGGCGUGUAGUGCGCGCAGGGGUCAAAUUUGCGAUUCGACUGCCCGAGUAUCGCCGGACAGCUUCGUCUCUCCUGUCCCCAUGACCCACUCGCAGGUCGCUUGCUGCUUUUCACUCGUUGCUCACGUUGAACUUUGCAUGCAGGAUUCAAUGCAGCGGUUCGCGGCGAUGCUCGAUCGGAAGCUGAACCCUGUUAUGACAAGCCUUCGCCGGAUUGAAGACACAACCGCAAUACUAGUGGAGGCCGUCGUGGGCAGGGCGCUGCGUGAUCGCGAGCAGCAGAAGCAGGAGGCGGCCUCCAACAACGGCGCCCGCGGAAGCGUGAUCCUGAAGGAUGCGGCCAGUGUGGUGAAGUGCGUGCUGCCUCCCGGGCUGCCGCCACACGUGCACGAGGUGGCGGCGGGCAAGCUGGCGGCCUGGCUGGUAGAGGAGGUAGGCCGUGACCUCGAGUUGGUGGGCGGGGCGCAGGGCAUCAGUAUGCUGCCUCACCUGUCAGCAGAGCGAGGGUAUUGGCGUGCAUGUGAUGCAUGCCCCAGGGGCAUGUAUGGAUGCCCGAUGGCUGCCUAGACAGCAGGCACAGUCCGUGCUGGCCGUCUCUGCCCUACCGCGCCAUGUAACAGCGCCGCACCCGCCAUGCAGGACCGGGGCCUACGCGCUAUCCUGGAGUCGGAGCUGCGUGCGGUCCCCUCCAGGCUCACCAAAAAAGCAGACGCGGAGUGGAAGGCGGCAGCGGCUAGUGCCGCCCAGGUGUGCGACUGGGGCGGGACGGGAUGAGUAGUGGGUUGCUUGCGGGCUGGGCUUGUGCUCCGUGCUGCACGCUGCUGUGUGCUGUGAUUCGAGCAUGUGUGCAUGGAUUCAUCAAAAGCAGUUGGCAAAAGGCCAAACGCCUGGGGCGUUGCUCCAGCGGCACAUGGCACUGCCUCUGUAGGAUUCAGCCGCGAGCCAGCCCACGCACGACAUCCUUUGCCGUUGCUGGUCGUGUGUGGUCGUGCAGUGGCAAGUCAACCCCUGAAGCCCCUCCUGCCAUGCUCCGUCUGAUGGUGUCGUGCGCAGGCGGCAUUGGCAGCGCUGCAAGGUGCUGCGUGUGGGCAGCAGAACUACUCGCCGGCGCUGGACGCCCUCAAGUGCUGCGCGGACCGCCUGCCUGUCUCCCUGCAGCUGCUGGACACCUAUGCCACCAGUGACCGGGACACGGCCCUGGCGCUGAUGCGCGGCGAGCUGUGCGUGGCCGCCCUGACGGCGCUGCACCCGCUCAGCAGCGGCGAGGCCUCCUCGACCGCCACACAGCUGCAGGUGGACCGCCUGCUGCCGCUGCGCGUGUGUGCAGAGGCCGGCGGCGGUAAAGGCGGCAGCAACAGUCGCAGCGGCAGCGGAGGCGGCGACGGCGACGGCGACGGCGACGGCAGCGGCGACGGCGACGGCAGCGGCGACGGCAACGGCAGCAGCAGUGGGGGCGGGGACGGCGACGGCGACGGCGGCAGCACAUCUGGGCCCCGUGUUGGACCCGGGGUCACGGCCGUGCUGGAGAUCCAGGAGAUCAAGUCCAGCAGCGCAGGUGCGUGGGUGUUGCGAGUGGGCUUGAAGACAUGGACCGGGCAUGCAUAGGCGGGGCGACCGUAUACAUGGAAAGCGCACGCCCGCCCAACAGCUGGAGCGUUCCCUUGGCCCAAAUCAUGGCGCCGCGUGCACGUGUAGGCUUUUUGUGAUUGUGUUCGCGGUAUGUGCGCGUUGUCUGGGCAUCGGUCAACUUAAUCAACUCCAGAAUCGUUCGUCCACUUUCAUGGAAUCUCAGGCGGUUGAGGCUCUUUAACAUGCUCCCUGGCCCGGUACAACACAGGUCUUCCGACGGCGCGGGCGCAAGUGGCCCGGUGCGGCCGCAUCUUUGCGUGCGUGUAUAGCGUCCUACGGGAGCGGCUGUCGGAGGCGUUGGCCAACGCCGAGGUGCAGCUGCCGCCGACGCUGCGGCUGCAGGCCACGAUCGCGCUCGGCCAGGACGGCGAGGCCGGAGCCAGUGAGGAGCAGCGCCCGCCGCAGCUGGAGCUGUCCACCGCCGACGGCGGCUGGACCCUGAUGCAGAUGCAGUACUUGGUCCUGGCGGCGGAGACGCUGGUGCCCUGGGUGCCGGGCCGGCAGCAGUGAGCGGGCGGGCCUCGGCCUCGGCAGUGGAUGGCUGGGGGGCACGGGACGACCAGGCAGCGGCGGUGGCACUCGGCACGCCUGCUGCAACCGUGUCACGCAGCAUACCUAGCAAUCAAGCGGCCAGCCGUUGAUGCUCACGCUGCCGCUAGCUGGGCUGCGGCGCGCUGUGGCGGCGGCAGCAGCGGCGACCGGGCAGUGGGCGCUGCUCACAGCUUCUUUGGGGUGUACGGCGGUGCUGGCGGCGUGGUCCACGGUCGUGGGCGGUGGUUGGGACCGCAGACACAGCUGGCGCGGUGAUGUAGCGAUGUACACGAGGCGAGGGCUUCUGAGACUGAUCGCUGUGUUGCUUUCCCCGACAGUGCCACGGCACGGCAGGGGCUUUAGGGUGGAGGGUAAGUGUGUGAGGAGAGCGAGGGAGUUCUUUUAUGUGCGGCACGUCUUGAAGGUGUUUGCUCGUGUAGCGGCUUGUGCGAGGGUAAGGCACGUUCGUGUUAGAUACACCGUUGACUUCAAUGUGUCUGACCCAUACUGGCGGGCGUUGUGCCACCAGAGAACCCGGGGCACCACCACAAAGGCCCCGGGAGUGCCGCCAGGAACGCAUACAUCUGUUUGUUCUGGCGCAAUUUGCAAAGACAGUAUGCAGGAUUGACCUUUUAAAUGCCUGGUUUUUACUAUGGCGCUGUGUUUGUAUGUGCAUCCCACCACCCCCUCACUGCAUUACAAACACAGCGCCAUAGUAAAGACCAGGCAAUGAAAAGGUCAAUCCUGCAUGCUGUCUUUGCAAACCAGAGCCAGAGCAAACAGAUGUAUGCGUUCCUGGCGGCGCUUCCGGGGCCUUUGAACACGUACAUCUGUGGACUUGAAUACUUGAUUUAAAUGGUCAAGCCUGCAUUCUGCCUUUGCAAAUUGAGCCUGAGGAACGGAAGCAAACAGAUGUAUGUAUUUUUUUGGUUUUUACUCUGGCGAUGUGUUUGAAAUGCAGUGAGAGGGUGGUGGUGUGGUCAUACUGUCUGCGUGCCCACUUUUUGCACUGCCGGGGUUGGGUAGGCCUGCUGUUUGCUGCACAUGAUGCAAUGGAUGGCGGUGGAGCGCGGCGGCGGCGCACGGCCUGUGCCCAGCAGCGGCGGCGUGCAUGUGCGUAGCAGAGGGGGCAGGCAUGGCCACGUGGAGGAGGAGAGCGGUGCGCUGCCUGAGCAGCGGCGCAGGCGGGCAGGUUGAGAACGCUGGUCUUUGUGGCGAGCAUAGCGUACAUAGCGUAGCGAUUUAUUGCUAUUUGGUUUGUUGCCGGCUGUGCUUGUACUUGGCAGCGGGGUGCGGCUCGACACAUGGCGGGUGGUGCCUGUACGAACCGACCCCGGCUGUGUCCGGGAGAUGAGGUAGUUUCGAAACCUUCGGCCUCGGACAUUGCACCAACGUGGCGUGGCCGCACAGCUCAAUUUUCCCCUGGAGACCUGUCUUGUCCGCACCCGUGGUUGUUGGCUUCCAGGAGUGGCAUGACUCCUUGACGGGUCUACCAAGUGGUGCAGGCUGCU